UACGGAGGGUGCAAGCGUUGUCCGGAUUUAUUGGGUUUAAAGGGUGCGUAGGCGGCCCGUUAAGUCAGCGGUGAAAUCCCGGGGCUCAACCCCGGAACUGCCGUUGAUACUGGCGGGCUUGAGGUCGGUCGAGGCGGGCGGAACUGGCGGUGUAGCGGUGAAAUGCUUAGAUACCGCCAAGAACCCCGAUUGCGUAGGCAGCUCGCCUGGCCGAAACUGACGCUGAGGCACGAAAGCGUGGGGAGCGAACAGG
rnacentral:rRNA from 1 species